AAACAUUCCCCACAAGCCAAAAUCUCCGUGGAAGAUAUGUGACAUCCCGCCAGCUGAAGCAGAGAUCAGAAUUGGUGCAAGAGAUAUGGAAUCAAUGCUUGAUUUUAUCCACCGCUCCUUUGGAUCAGAGGGGAACUUCAAAAUUGUGGAAACCAAACACCCUGCAAUGUCAGCUCCGAUAUUACAACUUACGGGACUAUAUUGUCAUGGACGAUCCCCAGGAGAUUGAAGGUCCUGGAAUGGUAUUUUGUCACCUAGCGUGUGAGGCUUUCCUUGGCCAUUAUGACGUUGAACACGCAAAGAUUGCCAAGGUAUCGCUCGAUGUCGGUUGUGCCAGUAGGAGAUAAAGUGGAAGCUAUUGCUCUUUGCCAUGUGGACUCCUCAGGUUGGAGCUUUGAUCAUAUCUUGUUUCGGUUCAGUCACCUGCUUCCAAGGCCUUUUAACAGCUGGUUUGUUUGGCUGCUUUUGUGGUGUUGUGACUGCUUUCAUGUCAUUGAGUUGCUCUCUAUCUAUCAUCUGUCAAGUCCCAAUAGCCAGUAUGGUGAAAAUCCUAUUGUGCUUCUGCUAGCUUAUGUUUGUUUUCUGCAACUGUAACCACCAAAAUCAUUGGUGAUCCCUACCCCAAUUUUAUGUUUGGUUUAAUAAAAA
rnacentral:misc_RNA from 1 species